rnacentral:lncRNA from 1 species
GCCGGGUUCUGGCCUUUGUUAGGAAACGGUCCCUAUGAGGUCGCCCUUGCAGCUGUGAUGCGUGUUCCUGCUAAAGAAUUGAUAAGAAACCAUCCCUGACCUUCUGUGGGUCAUGAAAGCAGCAAAAUAAGUACUGAGCUGCUGGAGUUGACAUGUGUACGUCUCAUCUCCUCCCCAUCAAGGGGAGGAGGGGCACCAGGAAGCCAUCCGGAGAACUCCCAGUUCCUUCUCAGAUGUUCAGUUUCUCACGUCUCUGCUUCCGACAGUCUGGUGCAGUAGACAGUCGACAAGAUUGGAAAAGCUGGCCCCGAGUCUAAAUUCUCAGAAACCCCAUGUUCUUUCCUUUUAAAGUCAGGGGAACGUGGUGGUGUGUUGCUCAAUGACAUAAACAUGUUCAGCAAAAUGCUGAAUUAGGCGAUUCCACCACUGGGUGAACAUCAGAGUGCUUGCACGAAGAUAUUACCACUUUACAUGGUGAGGUGGGGCAGCGAGCCACCCCCACCCAUCAGCUCGUCACCAACGUUGAUAUGAUGGGUGCUAACCUCACUCGGAAUAUAGCACACAGUCUAGCCCACUAUCUUCAGAAGACUGAAUCAUAGAGAGCGAUGAUUUUUAAGUUGCCACUUGGUGCCCAUCUGUGGUAACUGGCUCUCUUAUCCUUUCUCACUACCGCCACCUACAGGGCAUCGUGCAACUCAGCUUGACCUUUGACCGUAGACUUGGUAUAUGGAUGGGGCUGGCCCUGAAUGUCUGAUUACUGUGUCUGGCCUCUGCCCCUUUCUUGAGUAUUUCUGUCAACCAGGUAGAUGCUCUCUUUCUCGAGGAAGGUGGGACUCCACUGAAACCUUACCUGCAGUUUAAAUGUAUUUCCUUUGUGUGGUGAAGAAUUUGACAUUUUACUUUCAAGACAAUCAUACCAAACUAUUUACCUAAACCCAAACCCAAUUAUCUCUAUGCUUAAUCUUCAGAGCCACAAAACUGCGUAUAAAAACAGUGAACAGAUAAAUGCUGUGUGCAGGAACUUUGAGAACAACAGUGUUGGGUCAUGAAGCUCUGGCUAGACGUGUAUCUAACGGUGGACUAUUCAAAAGUCAAAUACAGCUGCAGUGUUUAAGUGUGGCUUCAAGGGAUUAUUGCAUAAGGAACAGGACUACAUUUUUAGCAACAUGACAGGCCUCCAUUUAAAAAAUAAAAAGAAAGAAAAGUCUAAAUAUUUAAUGGGCAUAUGUCAAGCUUCCCAGAAGAGCCAUGCAAAGCUUCGGCGUCC